rnacentral:rRNA from 1 species
AACGCGAAGAACCUUACCAGGGUUUGACAUCCUGCGACCGCUCCCUAAUAGGAGUUUUCCCGCAAGGGACGCAGAGACAGGUGCUGCAUGGCUGUCGUCAGCUCGUGUCGUGAGAUGUUGGGUUAAGUCCCGCAACGAGCGCAACCCUCGCCUUUAGUUGCCAUCAUUAAGUUGGGCACUCUAGAGGGACCGCCGGCGACAAGCCGGAGGAAGGUGUGGAUGACGUCAAGUCCUCAUGGCCCUUACACCCUGGGCUACACACGUGCUACAAUGGCGGUGACAGUGGGCAGCUAACUCGCGAGGGGGAGCCAAUCCCAAAAAGUCCGCCCCAGUUCAGAUUGGAGUCUGCAACUCGACUCCAUGAAGCCGGAAUUGCUAGUAAUCGCGGAUCAGCACGCCGCGGUGAAUACGUUCCCGGGCCUUGUACACACCGCUAGUC